rnacentral:sRNA from 1 species
GCCAGGCAUAGUGCCCUAUGCCUGUAAUCCCAGUGGCUCAGGAGGCUGAGGCAGGAGGAUCAUGAGUUCAAAGACAGCCUCAGCAAAAGUGAGGUGCUAAGCACUCAGUGAGACCCUGUCUCUA